rnacentral:lncRNA from 1 species
GAGAGGCUUGCGCUUGUAGAUCGAGCCGUAGUAGCUUUUCUUGAAUUUGGUUUGAUUUGGCAUUUUAAGUAUCCAGGCUUGAAGAAUGAAGAAAAUUAACAUGUAAUUAACUAAUUCUAAAUAAUAUGAAUUUCAAUUAUGAACUCCUGGCUCUAAACUCUCAAAAUAAGAUUGGAGGGAUAAUGCUGCAAAAUACUUCGCAGUUCACAAUGACUUACCAACAGUACUACUUAAUUACAACAUUGUAUGUAUUUCCUUUUAACCAUCAUUGAUUUCUCUUCUUAAUCGAAAGAUAAGAUUUGCAUUGAUAAAAUGCUCAGACCCACAUACAAUCAAGGCCUAAAACUAACCCAGUUCAUAUUGGCUAAUAUAGACCAAAGCCCAACAGAUUAAACUCAAUCUAAGGACUAAAUUCAAUGCUGGCCCAACCCUAAUCGAAGCUGGUUCUGCAAGAAAGAGAGAGCAUUGUUACUGCCAUCAUCUCCUUGCAGAUCUAUCAAUUCCGGUCUUUGCUUAACUAGUAAUGAUGUACAGAUGGGACCAAACACAACUCGCAUCAAUUCUCCUAUUAAGCAACAACUAUUCAAAAUAACAUGAUUCAGUUUCAUCAUUAUCAGUAUCGUAAGAGCAAAUGAGAUGACCAAAAUAUGAAAACUGACCAACUAAGACCUCAAGUAAAUUAAGGAACUUAGAAUCAUAAGCAGCAUACUAAUUGGCCCUUGUGUAAUUAGAACUCGAAAACAACAGCAUAACUAAUGUCACCCACAACAUAAAUUUGUCAAUAUUCAAAGGCAAAGCAAGGGUCAAAUACUUUGUGGACCAUAAUCAAAUUAAACCAUUGGACCACAAAUAUAAGGUUGCAUAUAUGCACGGACAAUAAGCAUCGUCUGAAAAUUGAAAAUAGCAAAAGCAAAAUAUCCCGUUUAACAUGCACAGAAUUCAACUUCAAUAAUCACAGACGACUUGAUCUACAGUUUUUUUGUUUUUUAUCAUACGAAUUGGAACUGCAUUAAAAGUUCAGUGGCCAAGAUGAAAUAGAUACAGAGUUGCAAGCCCAACCACCAACUCAGCCUAUAAUACCAUAUCCAACCCAACAUCCCCAACCCAAACCCAAAUCAUGAAGCACUGUCAAACCGCUCAUCUCCUAUUAAGUCAGGCACCGACCAUCAUCUUUCAUGACCAACGACACUGAAGAAGAACAAAGAAAAUAUCACAUUAGAAAAGAAAGAAAACAUGCACUCAAAAGAUGUAAUACUCAGAAAGAACAACAAACCACAAGUCCAGAACAACAUGCAAUCAAUCUGACAGCCAAAAAGCAAAAUCCACGUUUCAAAAAAUCCUACCAUUAAAAUCAUAAAAUACUAUCAAAGAAAUAAAAUCUACAAAACCAAAAAAAGAACCGCAACGCAAAAAAAACCAAAAGAAAAUAGAGGGCUUUGCCACCCAAAAGCGACCGAACCCAUCCGCAAAAGGACACCACCUCGCUCUCCCUCUCUUCUUCUUUCUUCUCUCUUCAACAUAGAGUAUGGAAACUGAGGAAGCUUCCGGGACCAGAUGACAUAUAUGGUGAAAUCAAUCAAUUGGCAUUGGUAGGGUCCCCGUAAAUAAAUAUAUUCUCG